GAUGAAGAACGUAGCGAAAUGCGAUAAGUAGUGUGAAUUGCAGAAUUCAGUGAAUCAUCGAAUCUUUGAACGCACAUUGCGCCCCUUGGUAUUCCAUGGGGCAUGCCUGUUCGAGCGUCAUUUGUACCUUCAAGCUUUGCUUGGUGUUGGGUGUUUGUCCUGAGGGACUCGCCUUAAAGUAAUUGGCAGCCAGUGUUUGGUUUUGAAGCGCAGCACAAGUCGCGAUUCAAGGCUAUACACCAGCUUCCACAAGCCUUUUUCACUUUUGACCUCGGAUCAGGUAGGGAUACCUGCUGAACUUAAGCAUAUCAAUAAGCGGAGGA
rnacentral:misc_RNA from 1 species